AGCUCCAAUAGCGUAUAUUAAAGUUGCUGCAGUUAAAAGCUCGUAGUUGCAUUUCCGAGGCAAGGGAUUAGUCCGACCUUUGGUGGGUAUUUAAUCCUCUUGCCUCGUCCUUGAGUGGUGCUUCUUGGUAUUAAGUUAUCGAGGAGAUAGCCGCUCAUCGUUUACUGUGAGAAAAUUAGAGUGUUCAAAGCAGGCUUAUGCCGUUGAAUAUAUUAGCAUGGAAUAAUAAGAUAGGACCUCGGUACUAUUUUGUUGGUUUGAGAACCAAGGUAAUGAUGAAUAGGGACAGUUGGGGGUAUUCGUAUUCAGUUGUCAGAGGUGAAAUUCUUAGAUUUACGGAAGACGAACUACUGCGAAAGCAUUUACCAAGGAUGUUUUCA
rnacentral:rRNA from 1 species